UACAGAGGGUGCGAGCGUUAAUCGGAAUUACUGGGCGUAAAGCGCGUGUAGGCGGUUCGGAAAGUCGGGUGUGAAAGCCCUCGGCUCAACCGGGGAAGUGCACUCGAAACUGCAAGGCUAGAGUCUCGGAGAGGAUCGUGGAAUUCUCGGUGUAGAGGUGAAAUUCGUAGAUAUCGAGAGGAACACCGGUGGCGAAGGCGGCGAUCUGGACGAUGACUGACGCUGAGACGCGAAAGCGUGGGGAGCAAACAGG
rnacentral:rRNA from 1 species